rnacentral:pre_miRNA from 14 species
GCGAAGGAAAAGCUUGUGUCCUCAUAGUACCAAAGUGCUCAUAGUGCAGGUAGUUCUAGCAUCAUUCUACUGUAGUGUGAGCACUUCUAGUACUCUGGGAUAAUGAGUCUCCUGUUGAUGG